rnacentral:rRNA from 1 species
UACAGAGGGUGCGAGCGUUAAUCGGAAUUACUGGGCGUAAAGCGAGUGUAGGUGGCUCAUUAAGUCACAUGUGAAAUCCCCGGGCUUAACCUGGGAACUGCAUGUGAUACUGGUGGUGCUAGAAUAUGUGAGAGGGAAGUAGAAUUCCAGGUGUAGCGGUGAAAUGCGUAGAGAUCUGGAGGAAUACCGAUGGCGAAGGCAGCUUCCUGGCAUAAUAUUGACACUGAGAUUCGAAAGCGUGGGUAGCAAACAGGAUUAGAUACCCCGGUAGUCC